AACGAACGCUGGCGGCGUGCUUAACACAUGCAAGUCGAACGAUGAAGCCGGAGCUUGCUCUGGUGAAUUAGUGGCGAACGGGUGAGUAACACGUGAGUAACCUGCUCUUGACUCUGGGAUAACUGCGGGAAACUGUAGCUAAUACCGGAUACGACCCUCGGCGGCAUCGCCAGGGGGUGGAAAGAAUUUCGGUCAAGGAUGGACUCGCGGCCUAUCAGCUAGUUGGUGAGGUAACGGCUCACCAAGGCGACGACGGGUAGCCGGCCUGAGAGGGUGACCGGCCACACUGGGACUGAGACACGGCCCAGACUCCUACGGGAGGCAGCAGUGGGGAAUAUUGCACAAUGGGCGCAAGCCUGAUGCAGCAACGCCGCGUGAGGGAUGACGGCCUUCGGGUUGUAAACCUCUUUUAGUAGGGAAGAAGCGAAAGUGACGGUACCUGCAGAAAAAGCACCGGCUAACUACGUGCCAGCCGCCGCAGUAA
rnacentral:rRNA from 1 species